CCUACGGGGGGCUGCAGUGAGGAAUAUUGGUCAAUGGGCGCGAGCCUGAACCAGCCAAGUCGCGUGAGGGAAGACGGUCCUAUGGAUUGUAAACCUCUUUUGUCGGGGAGCAAAAGACGCCACGCGUGGCGUUCCGAGAGUACCCGAAGAAAAAGCAUCGGCUAACUCCGUGCCAGCAGCCGCGGUAAUAAGGAGGAUGCGAGCGUUAUCCGGAUUUAUUGGGUUUAAAGGGUGCGCAGGCGGAAGAUCAAGUCAGCGGUAAAAUUGAGAGGCUCAACCUCUUCGAGCCGUUGAAACUGGUUAUCUUGAGUGAGCGAGAAGUAUGCGGAAUGCGUGGUGUAGCGGUGAAAUGCAUAGAUAUCACGCAGAACUCCGAUUGCGAAGGCAGCAUACCGGCGCUCAACUGACGCUCAUGCACGAAAGUGUGGGUAUCGAACAGGAUUAGAUACCCUAGUAGUC
rnacentral:rRNA from 1 species